UUAACGUGACUUAAUAUGGGGUCACAGUUAGGUUGCCAAACAUGUUCAGCUAUCCUUCAUAAGGUUUAGGAAACUCCGAGUCAUUCCCAAAGGGAUUUUCCUUGUUUCUUUACCUGCUCAGGUGCAAAUGAAGGCAAAUGGUCCAAAUGUGAGCCCUGCAGCUCCAUGAAACCAGAAGCAGCAGCCCUGAAUGUGCUGACGAAGCAUAAAGCCUGCAGGCUGCAGAGAUGCAGGGGGAAGACUCCUACAGGUGAUGCAGGUGAAGCAGCCAGAAGCCCCGCCCCUCUGCAGCAGCUUUGGGUCCUCUCUGCGAUCCGUGAACCGGUGAUGUGGCGUCCAGGUCGGGUCUGCUCUCCGUACCGACACGGAGGCUCACAGGUAGAGGCGGCGUGGUGCUCAGCUGAAGGAGGGAGCGCGCACGGUGGUGACAGGAGCAUCAGUUUCACAAACGGUCUCCUCCUUCGCCCCUGAAAGUGUGGCGUAAUCACGUGCGGGGGUGAUGCACCAUGAAAUGGAAUGGGCGCCCAAUCCGGGGGAGCGGGCUCAGCGGCGUGUCUACGGAAAUGAAGGUCAUUCUUUACCCAGAGAGGCUGGUGUCAGAGGAAAAGGCCUCACAGGUCAAACAUGGCCACAGGCAGACAGGAGGCAGCGCUCAGGCAGACUUCAGGUUUGGAUCUGAAAGAGACCAGAAAUGAGUCCAUUUAAAACGCCAAAUAUCCUAAAAGUAUAUGAAGCUUAGCCGCUUAAAAUAAACAUAUGUUGCCAAAUAUGGGUAAUGACAGCUGUAAGCAGAAAGCGGCUUGUUUUCUUGACCGAAAAUAAAUUUCUACCAAUAAAACGUUGACUGGAUCUGCUGCUUGUCGGCCAAACAGAAACAUUUAAGCUCAACAGAAAACCACGUUUUCCCCGAGCUGCUAUAAAAGAGAUGAACAUUUAAACUACAACGCAUUUCUAUGUUUAGAUGUUAAAACUAAAUUAAUCAUCUCACUUUUAAAAGGAAAAAAAAGCUAUUUUAUAUCAUAAAGCUAGCUAAGUGAGCACUUUUAAUAAAUUUGGAAAGUUACAAAAAGUAAGAGUCCAUCUAAAAGUUAAAACUCAGCCAAGAAACUUUAAAUCACUUCUAAAAGCCUUGUACUAUCGAUAGUCUUCUGUUGUAAAUAACAUAACGGCACAAACAGCCUAUUCUUGUUUCCUUCAUGAUUAAAAACAUCGUUUUUGGUUUCAUAAACGUUUGGUGUUUAGUCUCAGCUGCAGCACCUCCUGUAUUCAGGUGUGUCUGUCCUGAUCAGGGCCAGUCGACUCAAUUCAUCCCAGCUGGUCUCCAUCUGAGAUGCAACGAAACAGAAACAAAAUAACACAGAACCGACUUACAGGUAACUUUAAAGAGACAAAGGAGCCUCUUAAAGUAAACUAUUCCUUUUUAUUGAUAAAAAGUACGAGUUCCCCUGGAAGAUUAUUUCAUUUCUAGGUCAUAAGUGAACUGAUACUUUUCCAUUAGUAAGAAAUUAUUGACUUAACAGAAGCUUCUUGUGCUAAAACCCAGAGAAAAAUACUUGGUGUUUUUUCUGUGUUCUAGUUUUGAUAAUUUUGUGUUAAAAGGUUUUUUCCACGUUGCCAUAAUGGGGUAUUUGUGUGUAUAUUUCUGAGGUGGAAGAUUAAUUUGUUACAGUGUGGAAUAAGGCUGGAACAUAAAGCAUGGAAACAGUGAAGAGCUGUGAAUACUUUCUGGAUGCGUUCUAUAACAAUUAUGUUGAAUUGAUUUGUCCAAUCUUACUAAAUUACUCCGUCUCAAUAAACAUGAGCAUGUUUUU